GCCGAUGUAGCUCAGUCGGUAGAGCGCGAGGCUCUUAACCUCGUGGUCGCG
rnacentral:tRNA from 1 species